rnacentral:ncRNA from 1 species
GAGAGUUAUGUAUGAUACUUUAUUUUUAGACUACAAUAAAAAGUUCAUAAGUUACAAGAAACGCAAUGAUGUUUUAAAGAGAAAAUUACUGUCUACAAAAAGCUCUUAUCGAAUUAGCUGGUUGGUGAAGUAAUGGUUUGACCAAGGCGAAGACUCGCAGCUGCCUUUCGAGGGGAAACGACCACAGAGAGACUGAAAGACAUCUCUCGCUUUUAUCUG